rnacentral:rRNA from 1 species
CACUCUGGCGGGACUGCCAUCGACAAGAUGGAGGAAGUGGGGAUGACGUCAAGUCAGUCAUGGCCCUUAUGUCCAGGGCGACACACGUGCUACAAUGGCCGGCACAGCGGGAAGCGAGGCAGUGAUGCCGAGCGGAUCCCUUAAAGCCGGUCUACAGUUCGGAUUGAAGUCUGCAACUCGACUUCAUGAAGCUGGAAUCGCUAGUAAUCGCAGAUCAGCCAAGCUGCGGUGAAUACGUUCCCGGGCCUU